rnacentral:pre_miRNA from 1 species
AAAGCUCUUGGGAAAUUAUGUUCUUUAUUUGCGUAACAUGUUUUCUCCAGAGCUUAUC